rnacentral:rRNA from 1 species
AACGAACGCUGGCGGCAGGCUUAACACAUGCAAGUCGAGCGCCCCGCAAGGGGGGCGGCAGACGGGUGAGUAACGCGUGGGAAUCUACCCAUCUCUACGGAAUAACGCAUGGAAACGUGUGCUGAUACCGUAUACGUCCUUCGGGAGAAAGAUUUAUCGGAGAUGGAUGAGCCCGCGUUGGAUUAGCUAGUUGGUGGGGUAAGGGCCUACCAAGGCGACGAUCCAUAGCUGGUCUGAGAGGAUGAUCAGCCACACUGGGACUGAGACACGGCCCAGACUCCUACGGGAGGCAGCAGUGGGGAAUAUUGGACAAUGGGCGCAAGCCUGAUCCAGCCAUGCCGCGUGAGUGAUGAAGGCCCUAGGGUUGUAAAGCUCUUUCACCGGUGAAGAUAAUGACGGUAACCGGAGAAGAAGCCCCGGCUAACUUCGUGCCAGCAGCCGCCGUAAUAC